GAUAAACGCUAGCGGCAGGCUUAACACAUGCAAGUCGAGGGGCAGCAUAGAUUGUAGCAAUACAAUUGGUGGCGACCGGCGCACGGGUGCGUAACGCGUAUGCAACCUACCCGUCACAGGGGGAUAAUCCGGAGAAAUCUGGUCUAAUACCCCAUAACAUAUGGAUCGGCAUCGGUUCAUGUUGAAAUUUUCGGAGGUGACGGAUGGGCGUGCGAGGCAUUAGCUUGUUGGUGAGGUAACGGCUCACCAAGGCGACGAUGCUUAGGGGGACUGAGAGGUUUUCCCCCCACACUGGUACUGAGACACGGACCAGACUCCUACGGGAGGCAGCAGUGAGGAAUAUUGGUCAAUGGGCGCAAGCCUGAACCAGCCAUGCCGCGUGCAGGAUGACGGCUCUAUGAGUUGUAAACUGCUUUUGUACGAGGGUAAAGUGGGUUACGUGUAACCUUUUGGAAGUAUCGUACGAAUAAGGAUCGGCUAACUCCGUGCCAGCCGCCGCCGUAA
rnacentral:rRNA from 1 species